UGGGGAAUAUUGCACAAUGGGCGCAAGCCUGAUGCAGCCAUGCCGCGUGUGUGAAGAAGGCCUUCGGGUUGUAAAGCACUUUCAGCGGGGAGGAAGGCGGUGAGGUUAAUAACCUCAUCGAUUGACGUUACCCGCAGAAGAAGCACCGGCUAACUCCGUGCCAGCAGCCGCGGUAAUACGGAGGGUGCAAGCGUUAAUCGGAAUUACUGGGCGUAAAGCGCACGCAGGCGGUCUGUCAAGUCGGAUGUGAAAUCCCCGGGCUCAACCUGGGAACUGCAUUCGAAACUGGCAGGCUAGAGUCUAGUAGAGGGGGGUAGAAUUCCAGGUGUAGCGGUGAAAUGCGUAGAGAUCUGGAGGAAUACCGGUGGCGAAGGCGGCCCCCUGGACAAAGACUGACGCUCAGGUGCGAAAGCGUGGGGAGCAAACAGG
rnacentral:rRNA from 1 species